rnacentral:rRNA from 1 species
GAGUUUGAUCCUGGCUCAGGACUAACGCUGGCGGCGUGCCUAACACAUGCAAGUCGCGCGGGGGAGCAAUCCCUAGCGGCAGACGGGUGAGUAACGCGUAAAUAACGUGCCCCUUGGCUUGGGAUAGCUGGCCGAAAGGCCAGGUAAUACCGGAUGUGGUCCUCGAUGGACAUCCAUUGAGGAAGAAAGCAGCAAUGCACCAGGGGAUCGGUUUGCGACCUAUCAGCUUGUUGGCGAGGUAACGGCUCACCAAGGCUUCGACGGGUAGCCGGUCUGAGAGGAUGAUCGGCCACACUGGCACUGAGACACGGGCCAGACUCCUACGGGAGGCAGCAGUGAGGAAUUUUGCGCAAUGGGCGAAAGCCUGACGCAGCGACGCCGCGUGCGGGAUGAAGGUCUUCGGAUCGUAAACCGCUGUCAGUGGGGAAGAGCAAGGACGGUACCCACUGAGGAAGCUUCGGCUAACUACGUGCCAGCAGCCG